CGGGUGAGUAACGCGUGAGGAACCUGCCUCAAAGAGGGGGACAACAGUUGGAAACGACUGCUAAUACCGCAUAAGCCCACGGCUCGGCAUCGAGCAGAGGGAAAGGAGCAAUCCGCUUUGAGAUGGCCUCGCGUCCGAUUAGCUAGUUGGUGAGGUAACGGCCCACCAAGGCGACGAUCGGUAGCCGGACUGAGAGGUUGAACGGCCACAUUGGGACUGAGACACGGCCCAG
rnacentral:rRNA from 1 species